UGUUCUAUAGUUUAGUUGGUUAAAGCACCGGUCUAACUAACACGGAGUCGUGAGUUCGAGUCUCACUAAAACGC
rnacentral:tRNA from 1 species